GCGGGCGUGGCGAAACUGGUAGACGCAACGGACUUAAAAUCCGUUUCUCUCUGAGAGUGCCGGUUCGAGCCCGGCCGCCCGCACCA
rnacentral:tRNA from 3 species